GCAGGGUCGGCCUUCGGACAGCCCUGGAUGG
rnacentral:sRNA from 1 species